rnacentral:rRNA from 1 species
AUGGUGUUCUCUUCACGGACUAACAGGUGGGAGAGUCGAGAGUUUGUGCCCGGAAUCUGUUGCACUUCUCAGCACCUCUACGACAUGUUGCCAGUAUAUGAAAACUACAACCAAAUAUGGAAGUCAGCUAUGUAUUGGCGAGGGUCUCUCUAUGUGCAUUGCGGUAACCAUAUUCUUAUGAUCUUAAGAAACUCACAGGUUACCUAUGAUAUACCCUGUGACGAGGAUGAGCAAAGAGGCAUCCUUCCUACUAGGUCGGUCUUAGCGAGUUAUGAGAAAGGGAUCCACUACAUGGCGCUCGACAUGUUCCAACUCCAGGUGUGGAAACUGACAGAACUUGUUGACGGGCGGUUAGGGUGGACACGUACACACGAGGCCAACCUCAGUCUUUUCGGUCACCAAAUAAAGUGCUCAUCACAAGUUAUAAAAUCAAUGGCGCGAUGGGAGUUGGUCGAAAGCAAUGAAGCAAAAGUCAACCUCUUUGAACCCCUAAGUGGCCAGAGUAAAGAGGAAGACGAAGAUGAAGAAGAGAAAACCAAAAGUGGGUCCGGCUACAUGUGGGACUCCGAUGAGGAUAACUUCAUUGACCUGGACGAAGGUGUCGCCGACCGACCCGAGCCGUUGGAGUACCGGUGGUACCGCGGGAUCAUUGGAAUGCAUCCGUACAAGGACGUGCUCCUCCUCCACAUGAACGGCAGGGCGAUGGCAUACCAUCUCAGCACCUCGAGGAUGCAACACCUGGGCAAGGGGCUUGUCAAGGAAGUCGGAUGGCGAAACGGCGUCAAGCGCGCAUUCCCUUACCGCCCGUGCUACGUGGACGCGCUUCCGUUGGGGAAGAUGUCGCAAUGA